UGGGGAUGGAUUUCUUUCUGAAGAUCCUUCUUUGAUGAAUCUUUCUUAUCCAAACCUAGCAUCUUCUGAAUAGAUGGAGGCUUUCAUCACCGUCUGUCUCCUCCUGACUGCACCACUGAACUCCAGGCCAUCUUUGGCACAGCAGGAAGAGUUGUAAAGUCAGUGAUUUGAGUUAUCUGUCCUCAUCCAGAAGUGGUCUUCUGAGGCAAACCUAGAUCUGCUGAACUGGGUGCCCACUGGUCACAACCACCUGAUAUUUCUUCAAUCGUAAACCAAGAGGACAAAGAGGGACAGAAAUGACCUCGCCAUGUCCUGAUAAAUCUUUACUUGCUCAAGAAUGAUAGCUAAUCACUCAAUGUGAAGAUUUAUUUUGCUGCAUGCUGAGAUUAGCAAUGAGAUUUUUCAUCAUUUGCUGGAUGUUUGGUAUACUGC